UGCGGCCGCCGAGGACGGGCACGGGCAGCUGUGGGCGCUCUUGUUCACGCUACGGAGCCGGGUAGACUGCUGGGACUUGUAGUUUAGCGAGUGAUAAAGACUAAAGCAGAUGGCUGCAGCUUGUGGAACUACUACUCCCAGCAUACCCUGCUAGUCAAUGGCUGUGUUCUGAUAGUUGUCUUCCCUGUGCUCACAUAUGGCAGUGAAUUGCUGUGAUUAGACUCCACACCCUCUCUGCAAAGCCAGAGGAAUCAUGGAAAUUCAGGCAUCAUAAGGAAAUAAUUUCUGUUCUGAAAUUAAAUCAAUAGGGCUGAAAACCCAUGUCUGUCACAUAUACUAAAACAGUCCUGGGAGCCGGAUUUUCCUCAUUUUUUGCUUCAUCCUUACACCUGGGAACACGGCCCUUGCUCAUUCCUUGGCUUCCGCUGGAAGGUGUGCUGAGUUCAUUGCGAUCUGGGUCUG